rnacentral:rRNA from 1 species
UACAGAGGCCUCAAGCGUUGUUCGGAUUCAUUGGGCGUAAAGGGUGCGUAGGUGGCUUGGUAAGUUGAAGGUGAAAUCUCGGGGCUUAACUCCGAAACUGCCUUCAAUACUGCUGAGCUCGAGGAUUGUAGAGGAGAAUGGAAUUCACGGUGUAGCAGUGAAAUGCGUAGAUAUCGUGAGGAAGACCAGUGGCGAAGGCGAUUCUCUGGGCAAUUCCUGACACUGAGGCACGAAGGCUAGGGGAGCAAACAGG